AGAGUUUGAUCAUGGCUCAGAUUGAACGCUGGCGGGAUGGGCUUUACACAUGCAAGUCGAACGGCAAGCACGGACUUCGGUCUGGUGGCGAAGUGGCGAACGGGUGAGUAAUGUAUCGGAACAUGUGCCUAGUAGCGGGGGAUAACUACGCGAAAGCGUAUCUUCACAGCCACGCCCUUCGGGGGAAAGCGGGGGACCUUCGGGCCUCGCACUAUUAAGAGUGGCCGAUAUCGGAUUAGCUGGUUGGUGGGGUAACGGCUCGCAAGGCGACGAUCCGUAGCUGGUUUGAGAGGACGACCAGCCACACUGGGACGGCUGAACACGGCCCAGACUCCUACGGGAGGCAGCAGGUGGGGAAUUUUUACCGGACAAUGGAAACCCUGAUCCAGCCAUCCCGCGUGUGCGAUGAAGGCCUUCGGGUUGUAAAGCCUUUUGGCAGGAAAAACGGCACGGGAUAAUACCCCGUGCAACUAACAGUACUACAGAAUAAGCACCGGCUAACUACGUGCCAGCAGCCGCGGUAAUACGUAGGGUGCAAGCGUUAAUCGGAAUUACUGGGCGUAAAGCGUGCGCAGGCGGUUCGGAAAGAGAAAGAUGUGAAAUCCGACAACUUUGGAACUGCAUUUUAACUACGAGCUAAGAGGGGUAUUGUGCAGAGGUGGAAUUGCGUGUAGCAGUGAAAUGCGUAGAUAUGCGGAGGAACACCGAUGGCGAAGGCAGCCUCCUGGGAUAACGCAGCCUUCAUGCACGAAAAGCGUGGGGGAGCAAACAGGAUUAGAUACCCUGGUAGUCCACGCCCUAAACGAUGUCAACUAGCUGUUGGGGCCUUCAGACCUUGGUAGCGCAACUGCGUGAAGUUGACCGCCUGGGGCGGUCCGCAAGAUUAAAACUCAAAGGGAAUUGACGGGGACCGCACAAGCGACCGGAUGAUGUGGAUUGAUCGAUGCAGCAGCGGUAGCCACCUACCGCUUGACAUGUCUGGAAUCCCGAAGAGAUUUGGGUACUCGCAAGAGAACCGGAACACAGGUGCUGCAUGGCUGUCGUCAGCUCGUGUCGUGAGAUGUUGGGUUAAGUCCCGCAACGAGCGCAGCCUUGUCAUUAGUUGCUACGAAGGGCACUCUAAUGAGACUGCCGGUGACAAACCGGAGGAAGGUGGGGAUGACGUCAAGUCACUGUGGCCCUUAUGGGUAGGGCUUUACGUCAUACAAUGGUCGGGACAGAGGGUCAACCAACCCGCGAGGGGGAGCCAAUCCCAGAAACCGAUCUUAGUCCGGAUCGCAGUCUGCAACUCGACUGCGUGGUAGAUCGCUAGUAAUCACUGGAUCAGCAUGUCGCGGUGAAUACGUUCCCAGGUCUUGUACACACCGCCCGUCACACCGGGAGUGGGUUUGCAGGAAGUAGUUGGCCUAACCGCAAGGAGGCGAUUACCACGGUAGGAUUCAUGACUGGGGUGAAGUCGUAACAAAAUUG
rnacentral:rRNA from 1 species